AGCGAACGCUGGCGGCAGGCCUAACACAUGCAAGUCGAACGAACCUUUCGGGGUUAGUUGCGGUCGGGUGAGUACCACGUGGGAACGUGCCUUUAGGUUCGGUAUAACUCAGGGAAACUUGUGCUAAUACCGAAUGUGCCCUUCGGGGGUAAGAUUUCUCGCCUUUAGAGCGGCCUGCGUCUGUUUAGCUAGUUGGUUGAGGUAAUGGCUCACCAAGGCGACGUUCAGUAGCUGGUCGGAGAGGAGGAUAAGCCACAUUGGGACUGAGACACGGCCCACAAUCGUAAGGGAGGGAGCAGUGGGGAAUAUAGCGCAAGGGGGGAAAGUGUGACGAAGCCAUGCCGGGUAAAAGAGGAAGGGGGUAGGAUUGUAAAAUUCUUUCUCAGGAGACGAUAAUGACGGUACCCGGAGAAGAAGCACCGGCUAACUUCGUG
rnacentral:rRNA from 1 species